rnacentral:rRNA from 1 species
GUUAUAUGGUCAAGUGAAGAAGCGCAUACGGUGGAUGCCUUGGCAGUCAGAGGCGAUGAAAGACGUGGUAGCCUGCGAUAAGCUUCGGGGAGUCGGCAAACAGACUUUGAUCCGGAGAUCUCUGAAUGGGGGAACCCAGCCAUCAUAAGAUGGUUAUCUUGUACUGAAUACAUAGGUGCAAGAGGCGAACCAGGGGAACUGAAACAUCUAAGUACCCUGAGGAAAAGAAAUCAACCGAGAUUCCCUUAGUAGUGGCGAGCGAACGGGGACUAGCCCUUAAGUGGCUUUGAGAUUAGCGGAACGCUCUGGAAAGUGCGGCCAUAGUGGGUGAUAGCCCUGUACGCGAAAAUCUCUUAGUCAUGAAAUCGAGUAGGACGGGGCACGAGAAACCUUGUCUGAAUAUGGGGGGACCAUCCUCCAAGGCUAAAUACUACUGACUGACCGAUAGUGAACUAGUACCGUGAGGGAAAGGCGAAAAGAACCCCGGAGAGGGGAGUGAAAUAGAUCCUGAAACCGUAUGCGUACAAGCAGUGGGAGCAGACUUUGUUCUGUGACUGCGUACCUUUUGUAUAAUGGGUCAGCGACUUAUUUUCAGUGGCAAGCUUAACCGAAUAGGGGAGGCGUAGCGAAAGCGAGUCUUAAUAGGGCGUCUAGUCGCUGGGAAUAGACCCGAAACCGGGCGAUCUAUCCAUGGGCAG